UUACAGGGAGACCGUACCCGACUGAAGACCGAGAAGCUGCAAAGCAGGUCACAGUGGAGGUCAAACCUAGGUCGAACGAGGGAGCAAAAACUGGCUUUCAAACUAAGAAAGGUUCGGCAAGCUAUCCUAACUUGCCAGUAUGGGCUAUUAGCUCAGGUGGUUAGAGCGCACCCCUGAUAAGGGUGAGGUCCCUGGUUCGAGUCCAGGAUGGCCCACCUCAAGCGACAGGAAUCAACUGUGGGGGUAUAGCUCAGUUGGUAGAGCGCCUGCUUUGCAAGCAGGAUGUCAGCGGUUCGAGUCCGCUUACCUCCACUGACAGCGUAACCGCCAAAAAAAAUCAAAAGGUAUCUAGUUGUGCAAAAGCAAUAGAUGCUAGACCAACCAAAUUGGGCCAAAUUAACAGCACCUCCCUAGCCAGAAGGCGAGUGAGAAUGCUGGUGAAAAAGCCAGCCAGAACCUGGAAAACUGCAUAGCCAUCACAAGCCAAACAAUUACAGUUGCAGAUAGCAAACCAAAAACUAUCUUCAACCGAGCCAAGAAUAAAGAUCGAACCAACAGU
rnacentral:tRNA from 1 species